rnacentral:rRNA from 1 species
CCUACGGGCGGCUGCAGUGGGGAAUAUUGCACAAUGGGGGAAACCCUGAUGCAGCGACGCCGCGUGAGUGAAGAAGUAUCUCGGUACGUAAAGCUCUAUCAGCAGGGAAGAAAAUGACGGUACCUGACUAAGAAGCCCCGGCUAACUACGUGCCAGCAGCCGCGGUAAUACGUAGGGGGCAAGCGUUAUCCGGAUUUACUGGGUGUAAAGGGAGCGUAGACGGCAGCACAAGUCUGGAGUGAAAUCCCGGGGCUUAACCCCGGAACUGCUUUGGAAACUGUGCGGCUGGAGUGCAGGAGGGGUAAGCGGAAUUCCUAGUGUAGCGGUGAAAUGCGUAGAUAUUAGGAGGAACACCGGUGGCGAAGGCGGCUUACUGGACUGUAACUGACGUUGAGGCUCGAAAGCGUGGGGAGCAAACAGGAUUAGAUACCCCAGUAGUC